CGUAUGUGUGCAUGUGCAUGU
rnacentral:miRNA from 1 species